UACGUAGGGUGCGAGCGUUGUCCGGAAUUACUGGGCGUAAAGAGCUCGUAGGUGGUUUGUCGCGUUGUUCGUGAAAACUCACAGCUCAACUGUGGGCGUGCGGGCGAUACGGGCAGACUGGAGUACUGCAGGGGAGACUGGAAUUCCUGGUGUAGCGGUGAAAUGCGCAGAUAUCAGGAGGAACACCGGUGGCGAAGGCGGUUCUCUGGGCAGUAACUGACGCUGAGGAGCGAAAGCGUGGGGAGCGAACAGG
rnacentral:rRNA from 1 species